rnacentral:rRNA from 1 species
AUUGAACGCUGGCGGCAUGCCUAACACAUGCAAGUCGAACGGUAACAGGCCCUUCGGGGUGCUGACGAGUGGCGGAUGGGUGAGUAAUACUUAGGAAUCUACCCUGUAGUGGGGACAACCCGGGAAACGUCGGGCUAAUACCGCAUACGCUCUACGGAGGAAAGCGGGGACCGGCAAGGCCUCGCGCUAUCGGAUGAGCCUAAGCCCGAUUAGCUAGUUGGUGGGGUAAUAGCCUACCAAGGCAAUGAUCGGUAGCUGGUCUGAGAGGACGACCAGCACACUGGGCUGAGACACGGCCCAGACUCCUACGGGAGGCAGCGAGUGGGGAAUAUUGGACAAUGGGCGAAAGCCUGAUCCAGCGAUGCCGCGUGUGUGAAGAAGGCC